CANUAUAGGGGCGGCGAGGGCAUGUAUGGGNUUGAGUGAAAUNUGGUCGUCGCAGAGGCACGGUGAAACCUUGCCANACGUUUCUUUAGUCAAGAGCAAAAGUCAGAGGACCGAAGACGAUCUAGUACCCUCGUAGUUCUGACCGUACACUAUGCCNCCUGGCGNUUCGCGCGAGUGACAUACUUANACUUUGCGAGCUAGCUCCGGGAAACCGCAAGUUAUCNGGUUCCGGGGGGAGUAUGGUUGCAAAGCUGAAACUUAAAGGAAUUGACGGAAGGCCCCCCCAGGGAUUGGAGCUGCGGCUUAAUUUGACUCAACACGCGRAAMCUUAMUARGUCAGGACACCGUAAGGAUUGGCMGAUUGRRAGCUCUUUCUCGAUUCGGUGGGUGGUGGUGCAUGGCCGUUCUUAGUUGGUGGAGCGAUUUGUCUGGUUGAUUCCGAUAACGAACGAGACUCUAGCCUGCUAAAUAGAGGGCGGAUAGUCGGGCCCCUCGCGGGCCGUCCGUCGUCUCUGCUUCUUAGAGGGACAAGUGGCGUUCAGCCACGCGAGAAUGAGCAAUAACANGGCUGUGAUGCCCUUAGAGGCGGGCGCCGCGCGCUAACUGAAGGCUAGCAGNNCUCCGGCCNAGGUCCGCAUCAGACUCUAGGCGGAUGGCUGGAUCUACGUGACAGAUCCAUAGGGGUCCACUGGUGAUAGUCCGGUUUGAAACCCGNCGCACGCGACGGANGAGCCGAAGGGUCUGGGCUUGGGGGCCAGCUGAGCGUUGGGNCAAAAUGCCAUGGCCUAAGGGGUAC
rnacentral:rRNA from 1 species